GGCUUUAUAGUGGAAAAAAAGACAUUAGGUUGCAAACCUGAAGAUGUAAUAGAAUUACUAAGGCUU
rnacentral:tRNA from 1 species